GAUGAACGCUGACAGAAUGCUUAACACAUUCAAGUCAACUGUGGCGGACGGGUGAGUAACGCGUAAAGAACUUGCCUCACGGAUAGGGACAACAUUUGGAAACGAAUGCUAAUACCUGAUACUGUGAGAGAGCUUUGCGUCCCAUUAGCAAGUUGGAGAGGUAACGGCUCACCAAGGCGAUGAUGGGUAGCCGGACUGAGAGGGUGAUCGGCCACAAGGGGACUGAGACACGGCCCGUACGCCUACGGGAGGAAGCAGUGGGGAAUAUAGGAAAAUGGACCAAAGUCUGAUCCAGCAAUUCUGUGUGAAAGAUGAAGUUUUCGGAAUGUAAAGUGCUUUCAGUUGGGAAGCGGUACCAACAGAAGAAGUGACGGCUAAAUACGUGCCAGCCGCCGCGGUAAUAC
rnacentral:rRNA from 1 species